rnacentral:misc_RNA from 1 species
UGACAGAGACAUCUACCCUAC